CCUACGGGUGGCAGCAGUGAGGAAUAUUUGUCAAUGGCCGUAAGGCUGAACCAGCCAAGUCGCGUGAAGGAAGAAGGAUCUAUGGUUUGUAAACUUCUUUUAUAGGGGAAUAAAGGUAUCCACGUGUGGAUAUUUGUAUGUACCAUAUGAAUAAGGCUCGGCUAACUCCGUGCCAGCAGCCGCGGUAAUACGGAGGAUCCGAGCGUUAUCCGGAUUUAUUGGGUUUAAAGGGAGCGUAGGUGGAUUGUUAAGUCAGUUGUGAAAGUUUGCGGCUCAACCGUAAAAUUGCAGUUGAAACUGGCAGGCUUGAGUACAGUAGAGGUGGGCGGAAUUCGUGGUGUAGCGGUGAAAUGCUUAGAUAUCACGAAGAACUCCGAUUGCGAAGGCAGUUCACUGGACUGCAACUGACACUGAGGCUCGAAAGUGUGGGUAUCAAACAGGAGUAGAGACCCUAGUAGUC
rnacentral:rRNA from 1 species